GCAUUAGGAACUGGAAAGUUCAUUGCCGCAAAUACCAAAUCUCGAGGCCAUUGUUCUCGUCCCUGAGCUUCAAAAUCUUGAUUGAUAUUCAAUGGAAUGGAUAAUUAAAGAGUAGAAUAAUGGAGGGUAGAGGUAAGGAGUAAAAUCUCUUAUGGAAGAAAAUGUGAAAAAGUGUCCAACGUUUUCUGUCAAUAACAGUUGAAAAACCUUCCAGAAUGGCGCUGGUGUAGACACUUGGUAUGGUAUGAAUGUAGCAAUUGUAAAUGUAUUGUACUUGUUUAUUUCUCAAUCCUACUCUAAUAAUAUUUGGUGCUUCCUUUAAAAUUUACCAUGAUGGUAAUGUGGCGCCACCUCAAUUGGUUCGAUUUCAACGGACACUUUUCAUAUACAAAGAUGUUACUCCUUACCUCUACCCUACCAUAAGUAGAAUGAAAGAGAGAAGAAGAGAAGAUUCCAUGUUUACGCAUGAACAGGAUGGCUGUAGGAUAGACGAUCCGAGGAAUCAGGGACGCAUAGAAUUGCAUCUUCUACCGCUUCACGUUUUGCAUACCGUUACCGCAUAUAAUGGGGAUGGAAAUAUAUGCAGCGUCUAUGAAUAUGAAAGUUACAGAGUUACUAAGAAAACAUACUUAGCUUUGAGUAUCUCCUCUGUUUGUUUCAAACAUGCAUACACUUAUUAUAAAUGAGAAUUAGAAGUUCCUUUUAGAAACAUAAGUCCUUUGAAUUGUAAAAAUCUAUGCUGCUAAACUAACAAAAGAUGAUUUUAUUCAAUUUACAAGAUUCAAAGAUAAGAGAUAAAGUAAAUGA